rnacentral:snRNA from 1 species
AUGCUCACUUCAGCUGCACAAAUAUUAAAGUUGGAAUGAUACAGAGAUUAGCAUGGCACCUGUGCAAGGAUGACAAGCAAAUUCAUGAGCAUUCCAUAUUUUUU